rnacentral:rRNA from 1 species
CCUACGGGCGGCAGCAGUGAGGAAUAUUGGUCAAUGGACGAGAGUCUGAACCAGCCAAGUAGCGUGAAGGAUGACUUCCCUAUGGGUUGUACACUUCUUUUAUAUGGGAGUAAAACAGGGUAUGCAUACCCUCUUGUAUGUACCAUAUGAAUAAGGAUCGGCUAACUCCGUGCCAGCAGCCGCGGUAAUACGGAGGAUCCGAGCGUUAUCCGGAUUUAUUGGGUUUAAAGGGAGCGUAGGUGGAUUGUUAAGUCAGUUGUGAAAGUUUGCGGCUCAACCGUGAAAUUGCAGUUGAAACUGGCAGUCUUGAGUACAGUAGAGGUGGGCGGAAUUCGUGGUGUAGCGGUGAAAUGCUUAGAUAUCACGAAGAACUCCGAUUGCGAAGGCAGCUCACUGGACUGCAACUGACACUGAUGCUCGAAAGUGUGGGUAGCAAACAGGAUUAGAUACCCCUGUAGUC